AUUUAUUCUCCUGCAGCUUCUUGAUUGUCUCACCAGCCGUGAAAUAAUGCCUCUGUGCUGGCACAUAGCGUUUUCUUUCUUUUUAUAUGUAUUUUGUGUUGAGGUGCAGCAUCGCCAGUGGCCUCUUUCUGUUUCAGCUGUACUGUACAGACCAGCAUCUAUACCGUUUGAGAGAAGGCAGGUAGAAGCACAAGUGCCUGAUGCUUUGCACAGGUCUGUAGCUACCCAUGCUGAAGCCCCAAGAUUAUACACAGACUUGCAAACUCAAGGUUCAGCCUACAGGCCAGUAUCCACAUCUCUUGCUGAAACUACAAGGCCAUG
rnacentral:lncRNA from 1 species